CUAAUCAUCAAGCAGGUGUAUUUCUAGUGGGGUCCCGCAGGGAUUUGUUCUUGGCCCCAUGUUAUUUAACGUUUUUAUCAAUGCCCUGAAAGAGAACAUAAAAUCAUCACCGAUAAAGUUUGCAGAUGACACAGAUCGGGGGAGUGGUAAGUAAUGAAGAGGACAGGUUACUAAUACAGAGCAAUCCGGCUUGCU